UCUACAUAUUAAAUAUAAAUAAAUAUUAGACAUUAUUCUUUAAUAGCUCAAGCUUUCAUAAUAUAACGAUUAUCUCAUAUUACAGCAGUAGGUUUUGAGCUCGAAUUCCGUCGAGCCGCUAGCCUCAUUUAAAUUUCUCUUUUAGUUUAAGUAUACAUCUUGAGCCUAUUAAAACAUCUCGAUUUUAAAUGUGAGAAAAAAUAUUGAAUAUAGAUAUUUCCACACUGUUUUUUGACAACUUAAACUAACAAUAAUUGUUGAUAGGACACGUAGAUAAUAUUUGAAUUGGGUAUAAGAGGGGGGAUAAGGCCUUUCCCCCCUCUUAUACCAAAACAAUAUUUUGGAUGGAUGGGAACAAGCUUGCUCCAACCUCUUGUAGGUUGAAAGAGAGAGAGAGAGAGAGAGAGAGAGAGAUGUUGAGAAAUUAGAUUGCAAAUUUUAAUGAUGUGUAUUUGACAAAUUACUUAGUGAAAUUUAUGUGAAUAAUAAUAAUAAAAUAAAAUUGAAAGGAUUCCUUGUGGGACAUGUCUGUUCAAACAGACAUGACCUUUCAAUUAUGUCUGUUCAAAACAGACAUAACUUACCUUUUGAAAACAUAUAAAUAGAAGCUCUUGUGCCAAAAUUCAUACAUAUCAAAAAAGGUUUCCAGAUUUCAGAGUUAAGAGCGUGAGAGAUUCCGAGUUUUGCUUUUUGAGUAUCUCUCGCCUCGUUCUAUCCCGAGAGUUCUUUGUCAUAACCUGAAGCAAACUUUGUGUGGGGGCAAAUCUACUC
rnacentral:lncRNA from 1 species